rnacentral:misc_RNA from 1 species
AAGGAGUCUAACAUAUCUGCGAGUAUUUGGGUGUCAAACCCGAGUGCGCAAUGAAAGUGAACGUAGGAGCCACGCGCAUGCUGCAGCUUCGACCGAUCUGGAUCUUUAGUGAUGGAUUUGAUUAAGAGCAUAUGUGUUGGGACCCGAAAGAUGGUGAACUAUGCCUGAAAAGGGUGAAGCCAGAGGAAACUCUGAUGGAGGCUCGUAGCGAUACUGACGUGCAAAUCGAUCGUCAAAUUUGGGUAUAGGGGCGAAAGACUAAUCGAGCCAUCUAGUAGCUGGUUCCUGC